rnacentral:piRNA from 1 species
UUCUACAAUAAAGCUCUGAAACAGACUGUUC